rnacentral:rRNA from 1 species
GACGAACGCUGGCGGCGUGCUUAACACAUGCAAGUCGAACGAAGUGGCGAACGGGUGAGUAACGUGUAAUCAACCUGCCCUUAAGAGGGGGACAACAGUUGGAAACGACUGCUAAUACAGCAUACUGUAGGAGGGGAUUGCGUCUGAGUAGCAAGUUGGCGGGGUAACGGCCCACCAAGGCGAUGAUCAGUAGCCGGGUCGAGAGGAUGAACGGCCACAAUGGGACUGGGACACGGCCCAGACUCCUACGGGAGGCAGCAGUGGGGAAUCUUCCGCAAUGGGCGAAAGUCUGACGGAGCAACGCCGCGUGAGUGAUGACGGCCUUCGGGUUGGAAAGCUCUGUUAAUCGGGACGCGGUACCGGAAUAGAAAGCCACGGCUAACUACGUGCCAGCAGCCGCGGUAAUAC